UGGUGGAGCGAUUUGUCUGGUUAAUUCCGAUAACGAACGAGACUCUAGCCUAUUAAAUAGUUCGCCGAUUUCCAUCGUGUCGACUCUA
rnacentral:rRNA from 1 species